rnacentral:rRNA from 1 species
UACGAAGGGUGCUAGCGUUGUUCGGAAUUACUGGGCGUAAAGGGCGCGUAGGCGGCUUUACAAGUCAGGGGUGAAAUCCCACGGCUCAACCGUGGAAUUGCCUUUGAAACUGUAAAGCUAGAGUGUCGGAGGGGAUAGCGGAAUUGCUAAUGUAGAGGUGAAAUUCGUAGAUAUUGGGAAGAACACCGGUGGCGAAGGCGGCUCACUGGCUCGUUUCUGACGCUCAGGCGCGACAGCGUGGGGAUCAAACAGG